rnacentral:rRNA from 1 species
GACGAACCGUGCGAACGUUGUUCGGAUUCACUGGGCUUAAAGGGCGCGUAGGCGGGCGACCAAGUCGGGGGUGAAAUCUUUCGGCCCAACCGGAAAAGUGCCCCCGAUACUGGCCGCCUCGAGGGGGGUAGGGGCAUGCGGAACUUCCGGUGGAGCGGUGAAAUGCGUAGAUAUCGGAAGGAACGCCGGUGGCGAAAGCGGCGUGCUGGACCCCUUCUGACGCUGAGGCGCGAAAGCCAGGGGAGCAAACGGG